rnacentral:rRNA from 1 species
GAGAAUCCCGUCCACCGAUUGACUAAGGUUUCCAGAGGAAGGCUCGUCCGCUCUGGGUUAGUCGGGCCCUAAGCUGAGGCCGACAGGCGUAGGCGAUGGAUAACAGGUUGAUAUUCCUGUACCACCUAUAAUCGUUUUAAUCGAUGGGGGGACGCAGUAGGAUAGGCGAAGCGUGCGAUUGGAUUGCACGUCUAAGCAGUAAGGCUGAGUAUUAGGCAAAUCCGGUACUCGUUAAGGCUGAGCUGUGAUGGGGAGAAGACAUUGUGUCUUCGAGUCGUUGAUUUCACACUGCCGAGAAAAGCCUCUAGAUAGAAAAUAGGUGCCCGUACCGCAAACCGACACAGGUAGUCAAGAUGAGAAUUCUAAGGUGAGCGAGCGAACUCUCGUUAAGGAACUCGGCAAAAUGACCCCGUAACUUCGGGAGAAGGGGUGCUCUUUAGGGUUAACGCCCAGAAGAGCCGCAGUGAAUAGGCCCAAGCGACUGUUUAUCAAAAACACAGGUCUCUGCUAAACCGUAAGGUGAUGUAUAGGGGCUGACGCCUGCCCGGUGCUGGAAGGUUAAGAGGAGUGGUUAGCUUCUGCGAAGCUACGAAUCGAAGCCCCAGUAAACGGCGGCCGUAACUAUAACGGUCCUAAGGUAGCGAAAUUCCUUGUCGGGGAAGUUCCGACCCGCACGAAAGGCGUAACGAUUUGGGCACUGUCUCAACGAGAGACUCGGUGAAAUCAUAGUACCUGUGAAGAUGCAGGUUACCCGCGACAGGACGGAAAGACCCCGUGGAGCUUUACUGUAGCCUGAUAUUGAAAUUCGGCACAGCUUGUACAGGAUAGGUAGGAGCCUUUGAAACGUGAGCGCUAGCUUACGUGGAGGCGCUGGUGGGAUACUACCCUAGCUGUGUUGGCUUUCUAACCCGCACCACUUAUCGUGGUGGGAGACAGUGUCAGGCGGGCAGUUUGACUGGGGCGGUCGCCUCCUAAAAGGUAACGGAGGCGCUCAAAGGUUCCCUCAGAAUGGUUGGAAAUCAUUCAUAGAGUGUAAAGGCAUAAGGGAGCUUGACUGCGAGACCUACAAGUCGAGCAGGGUCGAAAGACGGACUUAGUGAUCCGGUGGUUCCGCAUGGAAGGGCCAUCGCUCAACGGAUAAAAGCUACCCCGGGGAUAACAGGCUUAUCUCCCCCAAGAGUUCACAUCGACGGGGAGGUUUGGCACCUCGAUGUCGGCUCAUCGCAUCCUGGGGCUGUAGUCGGUCCCAAGGGUUGGGCUGUUCGCCCAUUAAAGCGGUACGCGAGCUGGGUUCAGAACGUCGUGAGACAGUUCGGUCCCUAUCCGUCGUGGGCGUAGGAAAUUUGAGAGGAGCUGUCCUUAGUACGAGAGGACCGGGAUGGACAUACCUCUGGUGUACCAGUUGUCGUGCCAACGGCAUAGCUGGGUAGCUAUGUGUGGACGGGAUAAGUGCUGAAAGCAUCUAAGCAUGAAGCCCCCCUCAAGAUGAGAUUUCCCAACUUCGGUUAUAAGAUCCCUCAAAGAUGAUGAGGUUAAUAGGUUCGAGGUGGAAGCAUGGUGACAUGUGGAGCUGACGAAUACUAAUCGAUCGAAGACUUAAUCAA